rnacentral:rRNA from 1 species
UGCGCAGGCGGAACUUUAAGUCAGUGGUGAAAUCUUGCCGCUUAACGGUAAAAUUGCCAUUGAUACUGAAGUUCUUGAAUAUGGUUGAGGUAGGCGGAAUGUGUUGUGUAGCGGUGAAAUGCAUAGAUAUGACACAGAACUCCGAUUGCGAAGGCAGCUUACUAAACCAUUAUUGACGCUGAGGCACGAAAGCGUGGGUAGCGAACAGGAUUAGAUACCCUGGUAGUCC